rnacentral:rRNA from 1 species
ACUCCUACGGGAGGCAGCAGUGGGGAAUAUUGCACAAUGGGGGAAACCCUGAUGCAGCCAUGCCGCGUGUGUGAAGAAGGCCUUCGGUUGUAAAGACACUUUCUAGUAGGGAGGAAGGUAGUGUAGUUAACACCUGCAUUAUUUGUACGUUACCUACAGAAGAAGCACCGGCUAACUCCGUGCCAGCAGCCGCGGUAAUACGGAGGGUGCGAGCGUUAAUCGGAAUUACUGGGCGUAAAGCGCAUGCAGGCGGCCUGUUAAGUCAGAUGUGAAAGCCCGGGGUCUUAACCUCGGAAUUGCAUUUGAAACUGGCAGGCUAGAGUCUUGUAGAGGGGUUAGAAUUUCAGGUGUAGCGGUGAAAUGCGUAG